rnacentral:rRNA from 1 species
UACGGAGGGAGCUAGCGUUGUUCGGAAUUAUUGGGCAUAAAGCGCACGUAGGCGGCGACUCAAGUCAGAGGUGAAAGCCCGGGGCUCAACCCCGGAACUGCCUUUGAAACUAGGUUGCUAGAAUCCUGGAGAGGUGAGUGGAAUUCCGAGUGUAGAGGUGAAAUUCGUAGAUAUUCGGAAGAACACCAGUGGCGAAGGCGACUCACUGGACAGGUAUUGACGCUGAGGUGCGAAAGCGUGGGGAGCAAACAGG